AUGCACGAAGCAACCCCGGGCUUCUCUGAAAUCCCAAUGACGAGAAAAGCCCCAAUGCACGUGCCAAAUCAGCGACGUUCGUGUUGCAGUUUAGUCCUAAAUUCCAUGUCUAGAUCUGUGUCAAAGCAACGGCAAAAUGC
rfam:Lupinus angustifolius cultivar Tanjil chromosome LG03, whole genome shotgun sequence.